AUUGUUCUCCCUUUGGUAGCCUGUCGGAGAACAGAAGUAGCAGAGUAAAUUUGAUUAAGUCUUGGGAUUAUUAUUUUUUAAAUCACCUGGCAUCAAAAUUAUAUCAAUGAACACGUCAGCUAAGCCUUCAUUCUGGAGAAAAUCCUUUCUCCAGUAUCCAUGAGACCUCAGAUAGUGAUGAAACUCAGAAAAAGGCCUCCACUUCAGAAAUUUGUGUAUGGACGGGACUAUGUACAGACAGGAUCAUCCUUUGUACCUGGUCCCAAGAUGUGAACAAGCUUAAAACAAUUUGGAAUUGUGUGUAGAAAUGGGCUUGGAGGCAUUGCAGAUUCUGAAGCACUGUAGGCCCAGAAACUGCUAGCUAUUCCGGCUGGGCCUGAUAGGACUUGAAGUCUAUAAACAUUUGGAGGACCAAAGUUUCCACACUCCAAAGGAACAACCAGUGACAAUGCUGAAACAAGGGGCAACCCCGGCCUGCAACCAGGAGCCAUGUGUCCCAUUUCGCCACUUGAGAUGCAAUAAGAAGUGCUGCCUGACCUCCUGCCGGUGGAAAAACAGCACCAGCAUUGGCACCAAUUGGCUUCACCCUGCCUCAUGUGUGGGCUGGGCAACCCCAUUCAGAACAGAGUGAACACCAAUGCCUAGGUAGAUGAAGCAUUCAGAUACUGUAACUUGACCUUGUCUGGAUAUUCAGCAAAAAAGGGGAAAUUAAUACAUUUUUGUUAACAAUAUUUGGUAGCUCUGGUUUAAUAAAAAAAGUAUAUUGCAUUUCCUUUAAAAUUUCAAAACAGCCCCCAUAGCAAGGUUGUGAGAAUAUCAAUUUAUUAUCUACAAGGAGAGUAUAUUUAUUUAGAUAAAAUGUUGUGGACCUUAGAAAUGCAAAACAGAAAGGAAAAUAGGAGUUUGGUGAUAAGAAAACUUUUACCUUGAUUGUGAACAUUUCUUAUAAGCCCAUUUAAGUGUCAGGAUCAAUACAGGUAAUAUGCUUGCUAAAAAAGAAGAAGAAACACACACCACCAUUCUAGUAAAAAACCCC